rnacentral:rRNA from 1 species
UCUGGUGCCAGCAGCCGCGGUAACUCCAGCUCCAAUAGCGUAUAUUAAAGUUGUUGCGGUUAAAAAGCUCGUAGUUGAAUCUGUGUCCCACACUGUCGGUUCACCGCUCGCGGUGUUCAACUGGCACGUCUGUGGGACGUCCUACCGGUGGGCUUAGCCCGUCAAAAGGCGGCCCAACUCAAAAUCCUACCACGGUGCUCUUCACCGAGUGUCGAGGUGGGCCGGUACGUUUACUUUGAACAAAUUAGAGUGCUUAAAGCAGGCUCAUUCGCCUGAAUAUUCUGUGCAUGGAAUAAUGGAAUAGGACCUCGGUUCUAUUUUGUUGGUUUUCGGAACUCCGAGGUAAUGAUUAAUUGGGACAACUGGGGGCAUUCGUAUUGCGACGUUAGAGGUGAAAUUCUUGGAUCGUCGCAAGACGGACAGAAGCGAAAGAAAUGUGUUUUCAUCAAUCAAGAACGAAAGUUAGAGGUUCGAAGGCGAUCAGAUACCGCCCUAGUUCUAACCAUAAACGAUGCCAGCUAGCGAUCCGCCGAAGUUCCUCCGAUGACUCGGCGGGCAGCUUCCGGGAAACCAAAGCUUUUGGGUUCCGGGGGAAGUAUGGUUGCAAAGCUGAAACUUAAAGGAAUUGACGGAAGGGCACCACC